GCGAAGGUGGCCUGUGAGGGUUGCUGGAGGUAUCAGAAGUGCGAAUGCUGACAUAAGUAACGAUAAAGCGGGUGAAAAGCCCGCUCGCCGGAAGACCAAGGGUUCCUGUCCAACGUUAAUCGGGGCAGGGUGAGUCGACCCCUAAGGCGAGGCCGAAAGGCGUAGUCGAUGGGAAACGGGUUAAUAUUCCCGUACUUGGUGUUACUGCGAAGGGGGGACGGAGAAGGCUAUGUUGGCCGGGCGACGGUUGUCCCGGUUUAAGCGUGUAGGUGUGUGUUCCAGGUAAAUCCGGUUCACUUUAACACUGAGGCGUGACGACGAGGCACUACGGUGCUGAAGCAACAAAUGCCCUGCUUCCAGGAAAAGCCUCUAAGCAUCAGGUAACAUCAAAUCGUACCCCAAACCGACACAGGUGGUCAGGUAGAGAAUACCAAGGCGCUUGAGAGAACUCGGGUGAAGGAACUAGGCAAAAUGGUGCCGUAACUUCGGGAGAAGGCACGCUGACACGUAGGUGAAGUGAUUUACUCAUGGAGCUGAAGUCAGUCGAAGAUACCAGCUGGCUGCAACUGUUUAUUAAAAACACAGCACUGUGCAAACACGAAAGUGGACGUAUACGGUGUGACGCCUGCCCGGUGCCGGAAGGUUAAUUGAUGGGGUCAGCGCAAGCGAAGCUCCUGAUCGAAGCCCCGGUAAACGGCGGCCGUAACUAUAACGGUCCUAAGGUAGCGAAAUUCCUUGUCGGGUAAGUUCCGACCUGCACGAAUGGCGUAAUGAUGGCCAGGCUGUCUCCACCCGAGACUCAGUGAAAUUGAACUCGCUGUGAAGAUGCAGUGUACCCGCGGCAAGACGGAAAGACCCCGUGAACCUUUACUAUAGCUUGACACUGAACAUUGAGCCUUGAUGUGUAGGAUAGGUGGGAGGCUUUGAAGUGUGGACGCCAGUCUGCAUGGAGCCGACCUUGAAAUACCACCCUUUAAUGUUUGAUGUUCUAACGUGGACCCGUUACCCGGGUUGCGGACAGUGUCUGGUGGGUAGUUUGACUGGGGCGGUCUCCUCCUAAAGAGUAACGGAGGAGCACGAAGGUUGGCUAAUCCUGGUCGGACAUCAGGAGGUUAGUGCAAUGGCAUAAGCCAGCUUGACUGCGAGCGUGACGGCGCGAGCAGGUGCGAAAGCAGGUCAUAGUGAUCCGGUGGUUCUGAAUGGAAGGGCCAUCGCUCAACGGAUAAAAGGUACUCCGGGGAUAACAGGCUGAUACCGCCCAAGAGUUCAUAUCGACGGCGGUGUUUGGCACCUCGAUGUCGGCUCAUCACAUCCUGGGGCUGAAGUAGGUCCCAAGGGUAUGGCUGUUCGCCAUUUAAAGUGGUACGCGAGCUGGGUUUAGAACGUCGUGAGACAGUUCGGUCCCUAUCUGCCGUGGGCGCUGGAGAACUGAGGGGGGCUGCUCCUAGUACGAGAGGACCGGAGUGGACGCAUCACUGGUGUUCGGGUUGUCAUGCCAAUGGCACUGCCCGGUAGCUAAAUGCGGAAGAGAUAAGUGCUGAAAGCAUCUAAGCACGAAACUUGCCCCGAGAUGAGUUCUCCCUGAGACUUAAAGUCUCCUGAAGGAACGUUGAAGACGACGACGUUGAUAGGCCGGGUGUGUAAGCGCAGCGAUGCGUUGAGCUAACCGGUACUAAUGAACCGUGAGGCUUAACCUUACAACGCCGAAG
rnacentral:rRNA from 1 species